rnacentral:misc_RNA from 1 species
AGCAGCCGCGGUAAUUCCAGCUCCAAUAGCGUAUAUUAAAGUUGUUGCAGUUAAAAAGCUCGUAGUUGAAUUUCGGGAUCAAUAUGUUGGUCGUGCCUCGGUACGUACUAGGUCAUAUUGGUUUCUCCUUCUGAAGAACCAUGAUGUCAUUUAUUUGGUGUCGUGGGGAAUCAGGACUGUUACUUUGAAAAAAUUAGAGUGUUUAAAGCAGGCUCACGCUUGAAUACAUUAGCAUGGAAUAAUGAAAUAGGACGUUUGAUUCUAUUUUGUUGGUUUCUAGGAUCGACGUAAUGAUUAAUAGGGAUAGUUGGGGGCAUUAGUAUUCAAUUGUCAGAGGUGAAAUUCUUGGAUUUAUUGAAGACUAACUACUGCGAAAGCAUUUGCCAAGGAUGUUUUCAUUAAUCAAGAACGAAAGUUAGGGGAUCGAAGACGAUCAGAUACCGUCGUAGUCUUAACCAUAAACUAUGCCGACUAGGGAUCGGAUGAUGUUAAUUUUUUAAUGACUCAUUCGGCGCCUUAC